GGUUGAUGAAUGCAGGUGUUGACUUGUGUUCGUUGUUCCUCUUGCUGCUUGCUGCUAGAAGCCUUGUGAUCGGUUGUGGUCGGAGCUGCGGAUGGCUCUGCCCUCCAGAGGCUGCGCAAGCUGCUUUUUCUUCCAUGUUUUCAGGACCGUCCCCUGCCGGGCGGCUUGCAAUGUCGCUCCACUAGGAGCCUGUCCACCUCAUGGCCUGCCAUGACCGGGGUGCCUCUAGAGGCCAUUUGUGAGGCAGCUUCCUGGACGGCGCCGAGCACCUUUGCCAGAUUUAACAGAGUGAACGUCGCCACGCCUCAUCCCCUGUAGGGCAUACUGGAGCAACCGCCUUCUGCGUCCCGCUGAGUGGUCCAGUCAGAUGUUCAGAAGAUGGUGCUGGUUAAAGAAGAGGCUCCUGAUGAUCGGAGUCCUAAUGGGGACCAGCAGGAUUCAGAGUAUCUCCACAUAAAGGAGGAAUGGGAGGAACUCUGGAGCGGUCUGGAAGGAGAGCAACUAAGACUAAAGGAGGCCAACAGGUUUACAUCAACUGCAGUUCCUACAAAGAGUGAGGAUGAUGAAGAGAAACCUCUGUUCCUAUUGCUUCCUCAAGACCAAAGAGACAAAAAGUAUCUUCCAACCAGCAGCUCAGCUGCUCAGAUGAAAGCAGAAACUGAUGAAGAGGACUAUGGAGGAGUAGAAUCCAGCAGGAAGCCAGAUCUGAACACUCAUGGAGACACUUCCAACUCUUCAGAGACUGAAGACAGUGAGGAAGAUGAUGAAACUGUGAACCAUCCAGACUCGUCAGACUUUGGGUCUGGAACUGAACGA